GGCAUGCUGGAGGUAUCAGAAGUGCGAAUGCUGACAUAAGUAACGAUAAAGCGGGUGAAAAGCCCGCUCGCCGGAAGACCAAGGGUUCCUGUCCAACGUUAAUCGGGGCAGGGUGAGUCGACCCCUAAGGCGAGGCCGAAAGGCGUAGUCGAUGGGAAACAGGUUAAUAUUCCUGUACUUGGUGUUACUGCGAAGGGGGGACGGAGAAGGCUAUGUUAGCCGGGCGACGGUUGUCCCGGUUUAAGCAUGUAGGCUGGUUGUCCAGGCAAAUCCGGAUAAUCAAGGCUGAGGUGUGAUGACGAGGCACUACGGUGCUGAAGUAACAAAUGCCCUGCUUCCAGGAAAAGCCUCUAAGCAUCAGGUAACAUCAAAUCGUACCCCAAACCGACACAGGUGGUCAGGUAGAGAAUACCAAGGCGCUUGAGAGAACUCUGCUGAAGGAACUAGGCAAAAUGGUGCCGUAACUUCGGGAGAAGGCACGCUGGUGUGUAGGUGAAGUCCCUGCGGAUGGAGCUGAGACCAGUCGAAGAUACCAGCUGGCUGCAACUGUUUAUUAAAAACACAGCACUGUGCAAACACGAAAGUGGACGUAUACGGUGUGACGCCU
rnacentral:rRNA from 1 species